rnacentral:rRNA from 1 species
CAAGUCGAGCGAGAGAGGGGAGCAAUCCUCUGAGUAAAGCGGCGCACGGGUGAGUAACACGUGGGUAAUCUGCCCUGGAGUGGGGAAUAACACCGGGAAACCGGUGCUAAUACCGCAUACGAUAACGAGGUCUGCGGAUUUCGUUAUGAAAGGAGCAAUUCGCUCUAGGAGGAGCCCGCGGCUGAUUAGCUAGUUGGUGAGGUAAUGGCUCACCAAGGCUUCGAUCAGUAUCCGGUCUGAGAGGACGGUCGGACACACUGGAACUGAGACACGGUCCAGACUCCUACGGGAGGCAGCAGUGGGGAAUUUUUGGCAAUGGGGGAAACCCUGACCAAGCAACGCCGCGUGGGUGAUGAAGUAUCUCGGUACGUAAAACCCUUUCGACGGGGAAGAAAACCGCAAGGUUUGACGGUACCCGUAGAAGAAGCCCCGGCUAACUCCGUGCCAGCAGCCGCGGUAAUACGGGGGGGGCAAGCGUUGUUCGGAAUUACUGGGCGUAAAGGGUGCGUAGGCGGUUCGCUAAGUUGGAUGUGAAAACUCUGGGCUCAACCCAGAGCCUGCAUCCAAUACUGACGAGCUAGAGUUCUGGAGGGGAUAGCGGAAUUCCUGGUGUAGCGGUGAAAUGCGUAGAUAUCAGGAGGAACACCGGUGGCGAAGGCGGCUAUCUGGACAGAGUCUGACGCUGAGGCACGAAAGCUAGGGGAGCAAACAGGAUUAGAUACCCUGGUAGUCCUAGCCCUAAACGAUGGAUACUUGCUG